UUAAAGUUUUAUUCUUGCUUGUUGUGUUUACUUUUAAUAUUAUUUUAUAUGUAAGUUUUUGCGUAAUUAUACUUUUUGUUCUAGAUGAAUUUAUUGAUUUAUAUUAUUUCGCAGUAUUAAAUACUAUUUAUUAAUGUGAAUUAGAUUUGGUAAUUUUUAUUUAUAUUGGUAAAAUUUGUGCCAGCAUCCGCGGUUAUACAAUGAAUGUGAGUAAACAUUUUUGGUUAAAACAGUUAAAGUUAUUUUUGGGGUUAUUUUAUUAUUUUUAGGUGAAAUUUUAAUAUUUUAAGAAACUUUUCUUUUUGAGGCUGUGAGAUUUUAGUUAAAUUAAACUAGGAUUAGAUACCCUAUUAUUUUAAAUGUAAAUUAAUUUAAUCUAGGUAGUAUUAGUUAUAAUCUUGAAACCUAAAGAAUUUGGCGGUAUUUUAGUCUAUUUAGAGGAAUCUGUCUCGUAAUCGAUAAUCCACGUUGUACCUUACCAUAAUUUAAUGUAUGUAUACCGUCGUUAUAAUGAGAAUCUUAUGAGGGAUAUUAAUUUUCUGGAUUAUUUUAUUUAUAAAUAUUUCAGAUCAAGGUGCAGUUUAUAAUUUGGUGAAGAUGGAUUACAUUUAUAUUUAUUAUUGGAUAUAAUAUUGAAAUUUAUUUAUGAAAUUGGAUUUAAUUGUAAUUAUUUAUAUAUUAUAAUAAUGAAAUUAGCUCUAUAAUAUGUACACAUCGCCCGUCGCUCUCGUUAUUAAUUUGAGAUAAGUCGUAACAUAGUGGUUGUACCGGAAGGUGUAACUAGAAUGAA
rnacentral:ncRNA from 1 species